rnacentral:misc_RNA from 1 species
UUUUUAUAGAAUAAUCCAUCAAAACCUGAGAAACCCUAAUCUUGUCACCAGAAUCGUAUGCGAACCGCGUCUCUGCGAUCUCACAAGUCCCAACUUCCAAGUCGAGAUUUCCAGCUCGCCAUGGCCGACACCUCCAAAAAAUUUCCAGCCUCGCCGUCGCCACCAAGCCACGCACUCUCUGCUCAUGGUUAAUUUCUCCCUUUUUCUUUCUUGCUUCCCACCCUCUCUGCUCUAACAAAAAGACACCAGAUCUUACUUGUUUCUCUCCUUGUAUCCAAAAGCCACCAAAUCUUUCACUGGCGGCAUGGCAUUGGAGACAAUUUUAUAUUACCUAUAUUGGAGGGAAUUUGGAAGUGUUUAUGACAUAUCUUAAGGACUAUAGACUUUGAUGUGCAAGAGUUUUUGGACAGUGGAUCUUAGUAUUUCUUCUACAGUAAUGGAUUCUAAUGUCACCACAGGCAGUACAAUAUAUGAACCACGUGAUGAUAUGGUCUUUGAUUCACAUGAAGCUGCUUAUUCAUUUUACAAAGAAUAUGCCAAGUCUGUUGGCUUUGGUACUGCCAAAUUGAGUAGUCGGAGGUCAAGGGCAUCAAGGGAGUUCAUUGAUGCAAAAUUCUCAUGCAUAAGAUAUGGAAAUAAACAGCAGUCUGAUGAUGCAAUUAAUCCACGACCUUCUCCAAAAAUUGGUUGCAAAGCAAGCAUGCAUGUGAAGAGAAAACCUAAUGGGAAAUGGUAUAUUUACAGUUUUGUGAAGGAGCAUAAUCAUGAGCUCUUACCAGCCCAGGUGCACUUCUUUCGAAGCCACAGAAAUGUUGAUCCUCUUAAGAAUGAUGCUAGAAUAAGGAGACGAAAGAAUAUGACUGCAGUGUCCAAAUUAUUUGGCGCAUAUCAAAAUGUUGAUUGUUUGGAUGGAUAUAUGAGAAAUCAGCAUGAUAAGGGGCGAAGUUUGGUUCUACAAGCAGGAGAUGCUCAAAUACUACUUGAACUUUUUAUGCAUAUGCAGGAAGAGAACCCUAAGUUUUUCUAUGCUGUUGAUUUCAAUGAAGAACAUAAGUUGAGAAACUUGUUCUGGGUUGAUGCAAAAGGAAUGGAAGACUACAACAACUUUGGUGAUGUGGUUUAUUUUGAUACUACAUAUUUCACCAACAAGUACAAAAUCCCUUUGGUUCUAUUUAUUGGAGUGAACCAUCAUAUUCAACCUAUAUUGCUUGGUUGUGCAUUGAUUGCAGAUGAGACGGUUUAUACCUUUUUUUGGUUAAUGCAAACAUGGUUUAUCGCCAUGGGGGAGCGUGCUCCAAGAGUGAUACUCACUGAUCAAAAUAAUGCCAUAAAAACAGCUAUUGGAGCUGUCUUUCAACAAUCACGUCAUUGUUUUUGCUUGUGGCACAUAUUGGAGAAGAUCCCCCGGCAGCUUGAGUAUUUGAGUCCAUGGCUUGAUAGUUUUAUGGUAAAAUUUAAUAAGUGUAUAUUUAAAUCAUGGACAGAGGAUCAGUUUGAAAAGAGGUGGUGGAAAUUGCUUGACAAAUUUAAUCUUAGGGAGAUUGAAUGGGUUCAGUCAUUGUAUGAAGAUCGUAAAUAUUGGGUUCCUACUUUCAUGCGAGAUGUGUCCUUUGCUGGUUUGUCUACAACAUUGCGCUCUGAAAGCGUGAGCUCUUUAUUUGACAAAUAUGUGCAUUGGGAAACAUCAAUGAGAGAGUUUAUAGAGCAAUACAAAUUAAUUCUUGAAGAUAGGUAUGAGGAAGAAGCCAGAGCAGAUUUUGAUUCUUGGCAUGAGACGCCAGAGAUGAAGUCUCCAUCACCUUUUGAGAAACAAAUGUCAUUUGUAUACACACAUGAGAUUUUCAAGAAAUUUCAAUUUGAGGUUUUGGGAGCAGCUGCUUGUCAUCUCAAGAAAGAAGAAACUGAGGAUGAGACUACCACAAUUUAUACCGUAAAAGAUUUUGAAGAUAAUCAAAAUUAUAUGGUGGAGUGGAAUGAAUCAAAAUCGGAAAUAUGUUGUUUAUGUCGUUCAUUUGAAUACAAAGGUUAUCUCUGCAGGCAUGCUAUUGUUGUUCUUCAAAUGUCUGGUGUAUUCAGAAUCCCGCCUAAAUAUGUAUUGCAACGGUGGACAAAUGCUGCUUUGAGCAAGCAUGCCAUCAGUGAAAGACUGGAUGAGGUGCAAAGUAAGGUCCGGCGUUACAAUGACUUAUGUCGACGAGCAAUAAUUUUGGGUGAAGAGGGUUCACUUUCUGAAGAGAGUUACAAUAUUGCAUUAUGUGCCAUAAAAGAAGCUUUGAAGCAAUGUGCAAAUCUGAAUAACUCUGUUGAGAAUGGUGUUGGUCCUACCGCCCUAGUUAGCAUUGAGGAAGAGAAUCAGUGUGGUUCUACAUCCAAAGAUGUACCAGAUGCUCACUCCAUUAGUGCAAACAAGGCUUCCAGGAGAGUUGAAGCUGGGAAGGAAAAGGAAAAUGAUGAAAGUAACACAUUUAGAAAAGGAAAGCUGGUACCUCAGUCUGGAGCAGUUAACGUUGGGGUACAGGAUAGCUUCCACCUAGUGGUUUGUGAUACUCGCAUCUUAAUACCAUUUAAAUUUGAGAAUUUUUUUCGCUUAUUCUACUAGUUAGUUUUAAUGCAGCUUAAUACUCUUUAUCUGACAAUUUCAUGGAGAAGGGAUCAACUUUGUUGGAAUACUUGGACAUUACAUAAUUUUCAUCUCUGUUAUAUGUUGGCAUCAAAGAGGAAUACUAGAGAUAAGCUAUUGUGUAGCUAUUAGAGAGUUAGUUGCUUAGGACAGCAAGUUUUCUCUUUUCUGUUAUUGGCAGCCUGGAAAUUAACUAUGUUAGUUUUAUAAAUAAGAGAAUCAACUAUAGGGAAUUAGAUAUAGAUUCAUGCCAGAAAUCCAGGAUAUUUUCCUACUUUCUGUCUUUAUCUCUUGUUCUUUUUCUCUUUCCUGCAAAUUCCACCUCUUUCCUUUUCCUUCUCUUUCUUUUCAAACAAAAAGCAUUCUCAGCAGAUCAUAGCAAUAUAUUACUCCAGUGUUCAAAUAUGCCAGCUAGAAUCCUAAUUGUGACAAAAAAGUUGUUAAUGGCAUGCAUUCUUAUUAUUUUCCUUUUUAUUCUUGGGGCAGGAGAUGUGCGACCUAGAGGCUGCGCAAUCACAUAAUAUGGUGUCAGCACAGUUGCAGAAUGUGGUUCCAUCUGUGUUUCAUAGUAUGACAUCAACACAGUUUCACAGUAUGGCUCCUUCUCAUCUGCCUGAGGCUCGACUUCCUCGGUAGUCUGCUCUUGUAUUUUCUUGUAAAGAUUCUGUAAACUUUGAUGGCUAUAGGACUGUAGAAGAAGAACCUAACCAAUUUGCAGGUACGAUCGGUGGCCAAAAGUAUGACAUGUCUGUUGUGCAGUUGACAAAAAUUUUGUUUCAGUGCCCAGCUGAAUUUGGAAAAAGUAGGGUAAGCUGGCUUUUAACUUGUGCAUAAAUUAUUUAUGUAUACAAUUGUUUUAUUUUCUCCUGUUUACUGUUAAUAGGACUGUAAGUAUUUUAUUGGGCAAGGCGUCACAAGAUGCAAUUGUAAAACCUUUUGAUUCAGUAUUUCUUUUAAGACGAAGUCUUUUAGUUAGAUUGAUUUGCACUUCUAGUUUCUG